UACACAUGCAAGUCGAGCGGUAGCACAGAGAGCUUGCUCUCGGGUGACGAGCGGCGGACGGGUGAGUAAUGUCUGGGAAACUGCCUGAUGGAGGGGGAUAACUACUGGAAACGGUAGCUAAUACCGCAUAACGUCGCAAGACCAAAGUGGGGGACCUUCGGGCCUCAUGCCAUCAGAUGUGCCCAGAUGGGAUUAGCUAGUAGGUGGGGUAACGGCUCACCUAGGCGACGAUCCCUAGCUGGUCUGAGAGGAUGACCAGCCACACUGGAACUGAGACACGGUCCAGACUCCUACGGGAGGCAGCAGUGGGGAAUAUUGCACAAUGGGCGCAAGCCUGAUGCAGCCAUGCCGCGUGUGUGAAGAAGGCCUUCGGGUUGUAAAGCACUUUCAGCGGGGAGGAAGGCGAUAAGGUUAAUAACCUUGUCGAUUGACGUUACCCGCAGAAGAAGCACCGGCUAACUCCGUGCCAGCAGCCGCGGUAAUACGGAGGGUGCAAGCGUUAAUCGGAAUUACUGGGCGUAAAGCGCACGCAGGCGGUCUGUCAAGUCGGAUGUGAAAUCCCCGGGCUCAACCUGGGAACUGCAUUCGAAACUGGCAGGCUAGAGUCUUGUAGAGGGGGGUAGAAUUCCAGGUGUAGCGGUGAAAUGCGUAGAGAUCUGGAGGAAUACCGGUGGCGAAGGCGGCCCCCUGGACAAAGACUGACGCUCAGGUGCGAAAGCGUGGGGGAGCAAACAGGAUUA
rnacentral:rRNA from 1 species